UGGCGGUAAUCUGAGGUACCGAAAAAAGAAAAUUCAAGCGCCCAAAUUUCCAACUGUUUUUUUUCCCUAUUCAGUUCACCAUUUUGUUUUCUAGGGUUUUUGAAGCAAUCCUCGCCAUAGAUGGAUAGAUAGAGGGAUCGUGAAGGACCGUUUAACAAUCACCAACCGUUAAAUUCAACUCCUUUUGUUUCCCGAUAAUCACAAUCCUAACAUACCCCGCUGGCCACCACCGCCACCACUUCCGGCAACAGAGCAGCCAAUAAACGACGCGUUUUCGUCCAACGGUUCCAAAUCCGGUCGAAAGAGCGGGGUUUCACCAUUCCAUUCGAAGAGCUUCUCCAGGUAACUACAUUUAGCCAUGUAUACAAGUCCCUACACUCUUCUUUGUUAAGUCAGAGCAUAUUGAAGGAAGCAAUCUUGCAAAAUUCUUAUGUAGAAACGGUUGAUAUGUAUACCACCAUGAUCUCAAAUUUUAGGCCAGCAGAAAUUCAGUGUAUCCAGGCUACUGUUUAUAAGUUUGAAGACGAAAUUAUCAUCUUUUGUUUCCUUGUCUCUGUUAUAUUCAACUCCAAUUGAGUAUAACCAAUGGAAGUUGUUGAGGGACCGACUCUUUUGGGGAUGUAUUCGAAGUGUCAUCCACUGGGAAGCUAGCUGGACGGUCUCCCAACAAUGGUAUGUAUUGUCCCUGUGCCGGGGUUUUGUCUCCAUCCUCCAUCAUGAGCAAUUAUAGUAUCAAUUGUGCUAGGCUUUCAGCGGGGGAGAGAGACAAAAUGCCGAUACAGUGGCAAUACCUACCAUUGUUGGGGGUUUGGCCGGCUGCUCAGCAGACAGCACUUUGAAGAAUUCUACCGAAGCAGUUGCCCCCUCAACAGAAUUACUAGCAUAAUUGUGUUUCAGUUGUUAAGCAAAGCAAGUUUCCUGCUUUUACAUAUCGUUGUUGCAUCUUGCACCUUGUAAAAUUUCCUUCAAAAUGAUUUGAGCGAUGCAUAUAUUAAACUCUUUUGCAGUGGAAAAUAAACUGGAGGAAUUCACGGUAUUUGGGCUCAGAAACUGUUGCCAGGCAGCAAAAGCUGCAAAAUCAGUGCCAACAGGUUCAGACAUGUCUCACCCAAUUGAAAGUUUAAGUCCAACAACCUUUGUUUACAUUGAUCUUGGACGGACUUUGUACAUUUUUUUAAACAUACAUUUAUUAUUUCAUUUUAUGCAUUGCGAUUUUCUUUUCUUCAGUUCAGAGACGUUGUAAAUGUAACUGAUGUACUGAGAUGGAUGUUUUAAUUGACUCAAAGAAUCUCUUUCAUGUGUUUUGGCAUCUGAUGAAACUUCAUGUCAUACUCUGUUUUUUAUUGACAUGUCUAGAUGAAGUUAUGAUUUGCAUAAAUUCAGUAUAUUGUGAUUCUCUAGGGACCGGACCAUUCACAAAUCAAGACAGAAACAAGUGCUGUUUGUUGAUCAACUUGUGGUUAACUUUAUCAGAUACCAAGAUCUUAAUUACUCUUUUUGAUUGGAUUUGCAUGUUGCAUAUGUUAUCGGUUGCCUAUUUUCCUUCCCCUUUCAUGCUAGUAAGAAGCAUAUAUAGAUCAGGCACAUGUGCAAUUGUGAUGAUAGUAAGAAACAUAUGUUUAUCAGGCACAUGCAGGAACUUUAGAACACUCACUCUCCUCAACCUUCUCUCUUAAUUUGUAGUUUGAUUAGCUAUUAUUGAGCUCCUUUGUAAUGAAAUUUGGCUUCAAGAUGAUGUCUGUAUGCGUUGUUCAUUUGUUUUUCAUUUAUUAGGCUCACUCAGGUGGAAGGAUUCUGCGUUCAUUUCUUCCCUGGUGAUUUCUUUUUCUGGGACAUCUUCUAGUUGUUAUUAGGCUACAUAAGUUUUGUUAAUAGUCACUAUUUAUUUUCAAUCUCCUUGCUUUCAUCCCUUGUUUCCUACUUUGAAGUGGUUAAAUGUUGGUAGGAUAACUUGCAGGGCCGGAACUGCUCAUGUAAUUACAAUCCUGUUAGUGAAACACAUCUUAUCGUUUUUGUUACAUACUUGAAUUUGAAUGUUACAUCUCUUGCUUCAUUUUCUUUUAUUGCAGCUUUAAAAUGUUCAUUGUACUAAAUGUAUAUGGGAAUUUCCAGGUAUGCAAAGCAGUUUCUUGAUGUUUUCAGUUUUACAGCCUAAACCCAUCAUAGGUGAGUGUUUUUCAACAUGAGCAUCUUCUGGUAAACAUGUGAAAAUUCAAUUGGCUGACAGGAUAAGAUUCCUUCAUGACCCUUAGGUUCUUGUUACAUAGGAAUUACCUAAAGGGUUAUUUGUUAGACUGCACAUUGGGCAACCUCGAGUCUUAGCUUAGCACAUUGGAGCAUUCAAAAAUGUAGGUUUCUUCAGAACCUUAUAUAUUAACUUCUUUGUUGCUUUUGUUGGUACGGCUAGUUUUCAUAUCUAGGGAUAAAAAUUGGUCAUUAUUUGAGGGGGACGGUGGUAGGCCCCAGGAAUCACGUAAUGGCUUAUCUCACACACAGUCUCCGG
rnacentral:lncRNA from 1 species